GAUGAACGCUAGCGGCAGGCUUAAUACAUGCAAGUCGAGGGGCAGCAUGACUGUAGCAAUACAGUUGAUGGCGACCGGCAAACGGGUGCGGAACACGUACAGAACCUUCCUUCGAGCGGGGAAUAGCCCAGAGAAAUUUGGAUUAAUACCCCAUAGCAUAUUGAAGUGGCAUCACUUCAAUAUUAAAGAUUUAUCACUUGAAGAUGGCUGUGCGGCUGAUUAGGUAGUUGGCGGGGUAACGGCCCACCAAGCCUGCGAUCAGUAACUGGUGUGAGAGCACGACCAGUCACACGGGCACUGAGACACGGGCCCGACUCCUACGGGAGGCAGCAGUAAGGAAUAUUGGUCAAUGGACGAAAGUCUGAACCAGCCAUGCCGCGUGGAGGAUGAAGGCCCUCUGGGUUGUAAACUUCUUUUAUAUGGGACGAAAAAGGGUCUUUCUAGAUCAACUGACGGUACCAUGUGAAUAAGCACCGGCUAACUCCGUGCC
rnacentral:rRNA from 1 species